rfam:Gossypium arboreum cultivar AKA8401 contig_492_3, whole genome shotgun sequence.
UGUUAAAAUUUUCAUCGGUUUGUACUGUUAUAGACCAGGUAGUAACACAUGAUGUGCCACAUUUACCUCAUUUUGACUUACAAGGAUUAGUUUUUAACAAUAGAAAUUGAUGAAAAUUUCAACA